UGACAUGCGCAGUAGGCAUUCCAGAACACUGAGAGGGUCAUCAGGGUGCCAUUCUUAGCAGCAGAGCACGGCGCCUCACAGGGCCUGAUCAACCAAUAGGCUGACUGCCUGUCGGACCUGGUGUGUGUGUCCAGUCCUUUAGGUAGCAGGUUAUUAUUAUGGGGACCCAGGGUGUACUGGGGGCUGUCUGGUUUGAAAAGUUUGCAGCUUCUAAAGCAAGAAAAAUGAGCUUGAUGUAAACGAAAACGUCUGAACAAUGUCUCUGGAUCAAGAUCUAGACUUCAUCAACGGCCUACUAGAAAUGUACCGUGUGCAUGAAUGUUUUUGGAAAAUCAAAGCCAAGGGCUAUUCUGAUAAAGUGCGACGGAAUGCGGCCUUGGAGGAGCUAGUGGAGUACAGCAAGCCCUUUGUGUCCAGUGCUGCAUUGGACUGGGUAAAGAAAAAGAUACAGAACCUGCGUACUGUGUUCCUCAAAGAACACAUAAAAAUGGAACAGUCCAAAAGAUCUGGAGCAGGUUCCUCCCAGGUUUACAAGACCUCGCUCUGGUACUACCUCAUGCUGGAGUUUGUCUUGGAUCAGGAGGCUACUUGGACAGGUUUCACCUCCCUCCCUCGGACUGCCACACCAGAGCCUGAAGAGGGUGAACAGUCUUUGUCUGUAUCUGCAAGUAUAUUUUUUGGAAUACGUUUUUAAGUUUUUGCAAGUUCCAUCAUCAGUCCAACACAGUACACAUAAAUGUGGUCCUUCUGCCAAUCGACUGCACCCACCCCGUUAAAAUAGGCCAGGUACUCGUCCCUGACCUGUUUUGCCCGUAGACUCGCCCUGGAAUGGAGUGGAGGUGAUUCCACAGAGGGAAAUGGUGAAGUCUCCUCUGGGUGUUCUGGGUCUGGGUCUCCUGGCGCUGCUUUGGGCAGUGUCCUAUGCUGGGUGGUUUUGCUGCACAAAUAGUUAUGCAGGACACAGCACACAGUCACCACCCAAUCCAUCUUCUCCACCUGCAUAUUGAUAGCCGUAUUAAUAUGCGGAAGCGGCUAGACAGGUUGCCAAAAGUGUUCUCUACAAUUCAGCAUGCCCGGGAUAGCCUAUCAUUGUAGAUGCACUUCUCCCUUGUCAGGUGCCUUUGGGGGUACGGCUUCAUAAUGUUCUCAUGGAAUGCGAAUGCCUCAUCAGCCAUGAAAACAAAAUUGAGGCCGUGCGAUAAUCUUCAGGGUUAUUAUCCCUAAUCUCGGUCAGGAGUGACAUGUGAGAGAGAGUCCCCCUCUUCAUCAGCCACUCCUUGCUCCAAACAGACCCCACCCUCUUCCGUUUCAGAUCCCUGUCGCGUUUCAGCUACAUAUAGCCAUAGGCUAACAGAAGUUGAUACUUGUAGGAAUCCAUCACAGAACAGGAUAAAGAGCACUUUGUUCAGAAAAAUCAAACAAACCAAAGCACAGUAGCAAUGUGGAACGCUCAGAAGGUAUAAACCAGCCUCACUAUUCACAGAGCAGCAGUGUGCACAAGGCUAAAAUGACUGCUGCUAUUUAUAUGCCUAUUUGGCCCAGUCCCCCUAGCACCCUAAUCCAGCCUAUCAGAUAUAUAUUAUGGUACAUGUGAAUGCAUUGCGAUAAAUCGCAUGCGUUAUGUCGCCACGUGAUAUAUCGCAUGCAAAAAAGUCACACAUCUACCAAAUCGUAUGGUAUCGUCUGGAACCACUCCCGGGAAGCUCCCGGGAUAGUUCAAGGGAAAUCGCCUCCGAUUUCAGCCAUCAGACACAUCGCUGUAGUGUAUGGGGCUCUUUACUUUCUGUCAGAGAUGUACAGAUGGCUUAUCCUUGUUAAACUCCUUAUUUUAUCCACUUGACUGUGGAGUCAAACAUCACAAAGACUAGAGUUAAGUCCACUUCAGGCAUGGGCCCUCAUUCUGUGUUGAUCGCUCGCUAGCUACUUUUAGCAGCCGUGCAAAGGCAUUGUCGCCACCCACGGGGAAUUGUGUAUUUUCACUUUGCAAGUGUGCGAACGUCUUUGCAGCCGGGCGGUACAAAAACAUUUUGUGCAAAACAAGACUAGCCCUGUAGAUACUUAUCCUGUGUGAUGAAUCUAGCGACGGAGGUCCCGGAAUUGACGUCAGGCACCCGCCCUGCAAACGCCUGGACAUGCCUGCGUUUUCCCAAACACUCCCAGAAAACGGUCAGUUGACACCCAUAAACGCCUUCUUCCUGUCAAUCUCCUUGUAGUCACCUGGGCAAAUGGAUUCUUCGGUAGAACAAUUGCACAGCAACAACGAUGCUCUUUGUGCACGUACGACGUGCAUGUGCAUUGCAGCACAUACGCAGGCGCAGUUUUGCCAUUUUUUUACCUGAUCGCUGCGCUGCGAAAAUCGGCAGCGAGCGAUCAACUCAGAAUGACCCCCUAGUCUCCAACGUGUUAAUCAUUGAGCUAUAUUGUUGGAAAAACUGUACCAAAUAACUUACUGUUUAAAUGGGAUCUCUCCUUUAGCUUCUGUAAUGUAUCCUACAUGGCUUUGCAGUAGUCGUGUGUGUGUUUUGUUUUUGUUUUUUUUCAUUUUAUCCAUUGAUCCCUUUGAGAUGCAGUGUUGGUUUGCUCACAUAAAUUCUGCAGAUUUCCCUA